rnacentral:rRNA from 1 species
GACGAACGCUGGCGGCGUGCUUAACACAUGCAAGUCGAACGGAAAGGCCCUGCUUUUGUGGGGUGCUCGAGUGGCGAACGGGUGAGUAACACGUGAGUAACCUGCCCUUGACUUUGGGAUAACUUCAGGAAACUGGGGCUAAUACCGGAUAGGAGCUCCUGCUGCAUGGUGGGGGUUGGAAAGUUUCGGCGGUUGGGGAUGGACUCGCGGCUUACCAGCUUGUUGGUGGGGUAGUGGCUUACCAAGGCUUUGACGGGUAGCCGGCCUGAGAGGGUGACCGGGCACAUUGGGACUGAGGUACGGCCCAGACUCCUACGGGGGGCAACAGUGGGGAGUAUUGCACAGUGGGCGGGAGCCUGAUACAGCAGCGCCGCGUGCGGGAUGACGGCCUUCGGGUUGUAAACCGCUUUCGCCUGUGACGAAGCGUGAGUGACGGUAAUGGGUAAAGAAGCACCGGCUAACUACGUG